GCUGGCGGCGUGCCUAAUACAUGCAAGUCGAGCGAGCAGAACCAGCAGAUUUACUUCGGUAAUGACGCUGGGGACGCGAGCGGCGGAUGGGUGAGUAACACGUGGGGAACCUGCCCCAUAGUCUGGGAUACCACUUGGAAACAGGUGCUAAUACCGGAUAAGAAAGCAGAUCGCAUGAUCAGCUUAUAAAAGGCGGCGUAAGCUGUCGCUAUGGGAUGGCCCCGCGGUGCAUUAGCUAGUUGGUAAGGUAACGGCUUACCAAGGCAAUGAUGCAUAGCCGAGUUGAGAGACUGAUCGGCCACAUUGGGACUGAGACACGGCCCAAACUCCUACGGGAGGCAGCAGUAGGGAAUCUUCCACAAUGGACGCAAGUCUGAUGGAGCAACGCCGCGUGAGUGAAGAAGGUUUUCGGAUCGUAAAGCUCUGUUGUUGGUGAAGAAGGAUAGAGGUAGUAACUGGCCUUUAUUUGACGGUAAUCAACCAGAAAGUCACGGCUAACUACGUGCCAGCAGCCGCGGUAAUACGUAGGUGGCAAGCGUUGUCCGGAUUUAUUGGGCGUAAAGCGAGCGCAGGCGGAAGAAUAAGUCUGAUGUGAAAGCCCUCGGCUUAACCGAGGAACUGCAUCGGAAACUGUUUUUCUUGAGUGCAGAAGAGGAGAGUGGAAUUCCAUGUGUAGCGGUGGAAUGCGUAGAUAUAUGGAAGAACACCAGUGGCGAAGGCGACUCUCUGGUCUGCAACUGACGCUGAGGCUCGAAAGCAUGGGUAGCGAACAGGAUUAGAUACCCUGGUAGUCCAUGCCGUAAACGA
rnacentral:rRNA from 1 species